UUUCCUAUGGGCGCAGCAGUGGGGAAUAUUGCGCAAUGGACGAAAGUCUGACGCAGCGACGCCGCGUGAGGGAUGAAGGUUUUCGGAUCGUAAACCUCUGUCAGGAGGGAAGAAAGCGCAUGGCGCCAAUCAGCCAUGCGUUGACGGUACCUCCAAAGGAAGCGCCGGCUAACUCCGUGCCAGCAGCCGCGGCAAUACGGAGGGCGCGAGCGUUAAUCGGAAUUACUGGGCGUAAAGCGCGCGUAGGCUGUUGUGUAAGUUGGGGGUGAAAUCCCACGGCUCAACCGUGGAACAGCCCUUGAUAG
rnacentral:rRNA from 1 species